ensembl:lncRNA
AUGCUCUUUUUUUGUGUCCUGGCCACCUUAAUGAUCAUUUUUCUCCUUGUGGGUAACAGAGCAACUGGUACCACAUCUGAGGCUUUAUCUGUGAUUGCUGAUGGGGCCCUGGACAAGACAGCUCUGACAGAUGAUGUGGGAAGCGAGGAGGAUCUGUACGAGGACUUCCGCAGCUCCAACCACCGCUAUGGCCACCCUGGGGGAGGCGGAGAGCAGCUCGCCAUCAACGAGGAAGCACUGCUAAUCCCUCCAAAGAUCCUUUCUUCAGCUUCAGCCCUGUCCGCUGACCGAGGGCCCUGGUCCUACCCUGGCCGAGGAGGGAGCAGAGCAGCGAGCAGCAAAUUCAGCCAUGUUUUAAAGAAGGAGCAUGUUCCUUGCAGCUGCGUUUUCCUGCUUUGACAAUAGCUGCAGAACUGUGGGAGCUGUUUAAAGAAGAAAUGUCUGUGAGAACCAGGCGUGCCAGCCCCGCUUCUCUUGGGAAAUGCUCCAUCCCCUGGGACACUCGGUGCCCCCAGCAUGUCCCAUUGGGGUUGGUUCUACGCCUGCUCCCGGCAGAGCAAGGGAAUGUGACUGGCAGUAACCCCACUGCUCCCACACACAGCACACAUGACCACUGAUGGCAAACACAGCAGCCCUUGUCUUCAGCGGUGUGGGGCAGGCUGGUGAUCCCUGCGCAGCAUGUGCCUGCCAGCCAGGCCUGCGCAGGGCUGUGGGGAGCGCCCAGGACCUCGCGACAGUGGUAGGGUUGUGCUGCUUCACAGCUGUUGGAUGCCACGUGCAGGUUCUCUGAGCUUCUGGGUGAGGGCAGGUGUGACUGAAAAGAGCAGCAACCUAAGAAGAUCUUGAUGGGAGCUCUUUUUUAGUGCUUUAUCUAUCGUCUGUGGGAGGAUCCUGCAUCUGGACAUCUUGCCACUGGUGGGUCUUCAUGUCAGCAGGCUUUGUCAAAGAAAAAGCAGUCUGCUCGAACAACAGACUGAACAUCCCAUCUCCUCGUGCUCGUGCUGACAGAUGCUUUGCGAGGAGAGCAGAGGAGCAUCUUGUGUGUUAGUAUGGAACAACAGUGCUGGGGCAAUCCAUUUUGCAUUUUCACUUUGUUGAUCAUUUUGAAAGCCACUGUUAGACUGUAUUUACUUCACAUUGAGAGCUGCUCUCCAGGGCCUGUUGUUCUGCUGCCGUGGGCAGCAUGACAUGAGCACAGAGCACAGGGACAUGCUGUCUGGGGAUGUGAAGUGGCAGUAACCAUGCUCUUAGUAACACAGAGGACCUUACAGCAUUACACAUUGUGAAAUUCCAGGCAAAUUGUGGACCUUCGACAGAUGGUUUUCCAUUUUAGAAAUACAUGAUCGCAUGCAGUUUAAGAAGCUGUACUUGUUCUGAUGCUUUUAGGUGGUGGCUCAGCAGUGGUUUCAAUUCACCUGGGAGCUGCAGUUGUUGCCAAGGGUUAAUUCAAUACAGAAGAGCCUGGAUAGUCGCUUAGUUUGGAUGCUGGGCAAAGUGGAAUAGCGGGAUAUUUUGAAGUUACAUAAAUUCUUGGAGCAGAUGUGUUUUUCAGGUAGCAAUGCUUUCUCCUCCUCCAUUCCAUUCACAGUCCUUGUUUUCAGUUGCUGAACUGUGAUAGAGGUCCAUCCAUUGAACAUGUAACAAAGCUUGAUUUCUUCUAUUUGCAAGAUGCAUUGAAGUCCAUGGCAGCCGGUGUACCACGCUGAGCUGUGCUGUGCAGUCGUGCUGUGCAGGCCCACUAUGAGCUGGGGAGCCAGGAUGUGUAUAGCAAUUCCCUGUCCAUGUCUCCUGUUAGUUACUGGCAUAUUCUGCUGAAGCACCUGCACUGUUUAUUACACUUAUUCAUUUUUCACUUUUUUGUACAUAAAACUUUCACUUCCCAGCUCAGCUGUGACAAUAUUAGCACACUCCAUUCAUCAGACAGGCAGGAUUGUCCAAAUGCUCCUGACCUUGUAAAGCUGAAAACUCAGACAACCUAAGCCUUGUUUACUCCAUUUGCAAGCAAGGUGGCAGCUUGGGGAUAGACAAAUAACUACUGCCAUUUUGGUGAAAAGUAAAGGAAAGGAUGCUUCUGUACUUAUAUUAGACUCCAACUGCUGUGGGCUGUGUGCACCAUUGGGCCUCAAGCUGCUCUGCCUUCACCACUGGCACUGCUUUGAGUGACAGCAUCAUUCCCUCAGAGUGCUUCUGUUCCCAUCUGACUGAGGAGAGCUCUUAGAGGAAGACUUGGAAGGAAAUGAUUGCAAAUCAGAUUCCAAUGAAGACUGUGCAAUCAUUAUACAAACUAAAUCCUACUUUCCAACAAGCUAAGAGAGAAAACCUUCCUCUUCUUAUGGAUGCCACCUUUUACAGAAAGAUGUCUGAUCAGUGAGGAGGAGGAUUGAGACUUUAUUUGUGUAGGGGAGAGUGCUGCAUGGCAUUCCGCAGCACGUGGCAGGAGUUGUGCUUUGUGACACUGUGCAUUAUCAUGGGAGUAGCAUCCUCACGCACAGACCUUGCAAGGGGGAUUCAGUGCAUGGGGUUGGUGACAGAAGCCAGGUUGCAGUUGCUGGCACUUCCAAACUUCUCCUUGCAGGAGGUCUGAAUGUAGCAUCCAAGAAGGAACCUACUUUCUCCUCUCAGAUAGCUUUUCAGGUGUUCAAUCAAACUUCCUGUGCUUUUGCCUUCAAAUACUUAAAUGUGUUCAUGAGCUGCCAAGACUUCAGGAGGUGACUGCAGAAUGACAGCAUACUGGAUUUCAGAAGUGGCCCAAAAUUGUGUGGCACCAGCAGGGCAGCGGCCAGCCUACCCCUCUGGUGUGUGUCUUGGUGAGUUGCUGGGCUCUGCUUCUGAUCAGAAGCACCAAGAGGCUGGAGAAGAUGCUAGCUGCUGCUUUCAGAUGUGCACAGCAUAUGUGGCCAUGCUUCCUUUUCACUUGGACUGCCUUCCCCUAAAGCUCCCAGCCCCAAAACACUGUUCAGUGGCUUAUGCCCAAAUUCUGUCUGCUGUCAGACAGACAAGACUUACAGAAUGCCCAAGAGCUGAACAAUACUAUGAAUCAAUUCUAACCUUGAAGAACUUUCAAUAAGUAGAAGCCCACAGUCUCAGGGAGCCAGCUGUAGAAUGUAUGGGAGGGAGCUGUUUUUUCAAAGCUCUUAAGGAAACGCAGGGAAGAAGCUCAGGAGUGCCCAGGAGCUCAGGCAGCCUGCAGGUCCAUGUGCUCGGUGUGGAAGGUGCAGGGCCUGGGCCACGAGGGGAGCACAGCUUCAUCCUGCCUGGUGUUCUUUGUUCUAUAAGUAGGCUAGAGAUAGGAUGUGCAGGAUCUUUAAGCUCAGAAAAUGGCACACUGAUGUACUUAGAAUCAUAGGAUCAUAGAAUCCUUAGAGCUGGAAGGGACCUGUGAAGGCCACGUAGUCCAGCUGCCCUGCAGUGCACAGGGACACCACAGCUGGAUCAGGUUGCCCAGGGCCUGAUCAGCCUGGCCUUGAAAGUCUCCAUGGAUGGGGCAUCCACCACAUCUCUGGGCAACCUGUGCCAGUGCCUCACCACCCUCAAUGUAAAAGACUUCGUAUCUAGCCUAAAUCUUCUGUGUGGGCUUGGUUUUUGUUUUAUGACACCUUAUGAUCACAUCUUAAUUGUUCCAUAAGCACAGGGUGACACUUGAUUUUGCACUUUCUGCAUAACCUCAGCUGAAACUGGUACAAAUCUGGGAGAAACUGAACUGAAAGGAAGCACCCAGCUAGGCUGUAACUGAAGCCUGUAUCCUUCUGGAUCUCUCAGCUGCUGUGCACCAGGAUGCACGCAGUGGCGUUGCAGGCCUUGGUGCCAACACUUGAAAGCACUGAGCUGCUUCUGCGGGCAGUCACACAGGGAGGAGGGCUCUGCUCUGCUCGUGCCUGCUGCCCUGC